UACGAAGGGGGCUAGCGUUGCUCGGAAUCACUGGGCGUAAAGGGUGCGUAGGCGGGGCUUUAAGUCAGAGGUGAAAUCCUGGAGCUCAACUCCAGAACUGCCUUUGAUACUGAGGAUCUUGAGUUCGGGAGAGGUGAGUGGAACUGCGAGUGUAGAGGUGAAAUUCGUAGAUAUUCGCAAGAACACCAGUGGCGAAGGCGGCUCACUGGCCCGAUACUGACGCUGAUGCGCGAAAGCCAGGGGAGCGAACGGG
rnacentral:rRNA from 1 species